CAACAAACGUGCAAGGGGAAACUAAUCUUCGAAUCCUACAAAAAGAAUCUACAUUUGACUAACGGGAACCGGGACGACCUCAUAAGCAUUAUCAUUGACGAAGUUAUUGCAAAUGACAUUAUACUAAGAGGGAAUGAUUUUGUGAAUUUGCUAGAGCAGAUAAUAAAUCUCUUUCCAAACGAAAAGGGUGCCCGGGAAUACUAUUAUAUUCCGCGCAAGGGUAAAAAAUGCCCUAGUGGAAAGCUGUACGGGAAAUACGUCAAUCAACGCAGUAAGAAAAGGAAGACAAUAUACCUUGAACAAAACACACCAUCACCUGCUAGUACUAUGACUAAUCCUUCCACGAAAAAUUACGAAGUUCCUGAAAUUGAUUUUACGAUAUGUAGAGUAUUAAAAGCAUCUCUCAGCAGAAGCAUUGCCGAUUGGAAUGAAGUCAGAGAUAAAUGGCAAAAGACAUUUAACUUGCGACAGAAUGACUUAAAGGAACUGACCAACAUUGAUUUUCUCCAAGCCUGGCCCAAAUAUUCUGAUUCGCGGGCUCCUGACUUCGUAACAAUGAAAUUACGUACUUAGCUCGCAGUUUUACUAUACAUUUACACAUUACAGAUAAAACUUGACUUCAAGAUCAUGUACCCUGACAAGGAGGAUUGUUUGUAUUCGAAAUGGGAAAUGUUUACGGAAAAAAUUCAACGAUUUUAUGAAACUAAUCUACACAACGAUUUCUGCAAACAGCUCUUUUCUCUUGCUAAAGCUUCAACGAACAAAGAUACGCAAGACUACAUUCUUACAACGCUGCUGAAUGGAGUUCUUCCACCUUCAUCAUGGUUUCAAAGUUCCUGCGGAAAGCUAAGAAAGAAAGCAACAUUAGCAGACUCGCAACAAAGCUUUGUUUUACGAUUAACUUCAAUCAACGAUUACGAAAGGAAAAUUACUGAGUUGAUAAGUAUGUACUAUUCUGCAGGAAUGACAAUACAGCCUUUUAUAAUUGUGGAAGGAAUA